UGAAAGAAUGAGGGUUUUAGGCUGGGCACAGUGGCUGAUGCCUGUAAUCUCAGCACUUUGGGAGGCCAAGGCAGGAGGAUUACCUGAGAUGUGGAUCACCUGGGGUCAGGAGUUCAUGACCAGCCUGGGCAACAUGGUGAAACCCCGUCUCUACUAAAAAUACAAACUUUAUUUAAAUGAUUUUUAUUUAAAAUGUUGGUAUUCAUAUAUUUUUAUUUUGCCUUCUAAUUUUAAUAGGCAUAAAUAUUUUAAAACAAUAAUUUUCUUGAAGAUAUACAAAGUAAUUAUGAUCUUAAAAUUUACAAUCACUUUAACUUACAUUUUGAUGAAAAUAUGCUCAAAUUUUAAACACAAUUACCUUCAUUUUUAACUUGUUACAUUAUUACUAUCAAUUGAACACAAAUUACAUGAAAAUCUUUAUUGUAACAACAUAGUGGUUUUCCUGAAAUGGAGAAAAUAAAAUAAAUGUUGUGGAAUACAUAAAUAAAAACAUAAAUAAUGUCUUUUAUUAAUCAUAGAAAAUGUCAUUAGCUCCUCUAAACAUGUGCAAUAAUAACUAAAAAUUAGCCAUCUUUUUUUGCAGUCUUUCAUAAUACUUUAUCAACACCAUAGCUUUACAAAUGUUUUUAAUGGACCAGGCACAGUGGCUCACACCUGUAAUCCCAGUGCUUUGGGAGGCUGAGGCAGGAGGAUCAUGAGGUCAGGAGUUCGAGACCAGCCUGGCCAACAUAGUGAAACCCCAUGUCUACUAAAAAUACAAAAAAUUAGCUGGGCGUGGUGUCAGGCGCCCGUAAUUCCAGUGACUCAGGAGGCUGAGGCAGGAGAAUCGCUUGAACUGGGGAGGCGGAGGUUGCAGUGAGCUGAGAUCGCGCCGUUGCACUCCAGCCUGGGCAACGAGUGAAACUCCUGUCUCAAAACAAAACAAAACAAAACAAAUGUUUUUAAUGAUGUUAUGGAUUUGUCAAGAUUGAAGUAUAGAGCACAUUUUGUUUAAAAUGUUUUGGCUUUCGGCCAGGUGCAGUGGCUCACGCCUGUAAAUCCAGCACUUUGGGAGGCUGAGGCAGCCAGAUCACUUGAGGUCAGGAGUUCCAGACCAGCCUGGCCCAGGAGGCGGAGCUUGCAGUGAGCCGAGAUCGUGCCACUGCACUGCGGCCUGGGCGAGAGACUCUGUCUCGGAAAAAAAAAAAAAAGAAAAAGAAAAAGAAAACUACAUCCCCCUCAGGCAGACAUAAUACAAAGGAGGCCCUUUCUUCCCUGCAGAAUCAGCCCUGCACCAGGGAGCCAGACGCAGCAAGAGAAGCCAGGGCUGGAUUUUUAUCCCUAAUGUCCCUCUUGGUUGGGCACCUGGCACAGGGCACAAGCUGCACUCCCAUAUAAGUGGCUCUGGCCUAGGCAAUGGCAUCACACUAGAGUAAGGAAAGUGACCCAACUUGUAAUGGCAGGCAUAUUAGAGCAGAGAUUCCAAAAUUUCAUUUCAUAUAUUCCUAGGUGCCUCUGACCCCCACCCCCAAACCACAGAUCAACCACAGGAGGUCCUUUUCACCUGCUGUGUAAUAGAGGGUUUUUGUUUAUGUUUUUGUUUUAGUGGAAGGGAUUUUACAACUUUUAAAAUAUAUGUAUAUAUGUUUAACCCCUGAUCUACUCCCGCCACACAGCCACAUCAUGGACCCUGGAGGCAAUGGAAUAGGAAGGACAGCAGUGGGGGCUGGGAGGGCAGGGGGAAGGAGACUUUUCAGGGACAUCCAAAGCCACUGACUUUUGUCCCGUACUCCAGUGGGUGUGCUCCUCUCCUUGACCCCACCGGGCACCAUACUUUAUAGUUACUUAGAAUUUUUGAAGACCUUGGCUGGGGGGUCUCUCUGAUAAAUCCAAAUUACUAUGCUUUUGUUAAAACUUUUACAUGCCAAAGCAGGCAAACAACAGAUAUUUUUUAACAUCUACAUUUGAAAACCAUUCUGGGUAUACUUCACUGUAAUAUACAGCCAGCAAAGCAACCAUAACAUUUCCUCAUUUUCCUGAGUAAAUUUAGAAGCAAACAUUUUCAGAAUAUGAAAUUAAAUAAAAGGUCAUAGGACAAUGAAUAAUAUGCUGUGUGUGUGGUUAAUUAUACUUGUUCUAAAAAAAAGUCAUCCUAGCCUCUCUAUAAAAAUUGUGUGUGUAGCUAUUUCACUUUGAAAUGUCAUAGGGUUACUCUGUUUCAAAAAGAAAAUGGAAAAGCAUAAAGAUAUUUAUUUAACCCUGAAAGAAAAUAUUUCUUAAGAGAAUGUAAUGUUUAAUUCCAUAUUGUUUCCCUUUGUCCUGUGGCUGGUUUAUAAAUAUGGAAGGCACAAUUCUUUGUGCUAUUGAAAUUAAGGGUUCACGGUAUUUUUUGUCUUUUCAGGGAAAAGAAUCAAACAAUUUAGAUACAGAAAAGAUAUGAUUCUUUCAACAGCUACUAAAAUCUGACAAGCCAUUUUAAUCAUAAGGUAGAUAGCAUUAUAAUUUAAUCUUUUCCGUGAUGAGAUAAUCUGUACUUUUAACUUCAAACAAGAUGCUUAAUAUUUAAUACUUCAGAUUUCAAAAGUGAAACAUGUCUGAAAUACUUGAAUGAAAGUCACUUGUCUACCUAUUUUUUAUUUCUGCUGUAAUUAAAGCAGGGAACUUAAUUGCAAGUGAACUCAUUCUAAUACUCCAAUAAGACAAAAUAAGCAAGCCAUGUUAUUAAUAGCGAUGACAGAAGUGAUCGCUCUGGGCAGUCUGGCAAAUACUUACCUGUGACUGGGAGGUUCACCUAAAAAAAGCCACACUGAGGUCACUUUUGCUUUUUGGGGUAAUUUCGCCCUACCAUGCUCUGAGAGAUCAGAGAAGGAUUUUUCCUCUAAACUUUUUCUCUUAUUGUCCUAGGAUUUACACUCUUGCUUCUUCCAACUGGUGUAUUAAAAAUUACUAGACACCUACUAAGCGCCAGACACUUUCCUAGCUGUUAGGAAUAGAAAGAGAAAGAAUAUGGUCUGCAGUCCAGGAGCUCAGGCUAGAGCAUUCUAUGCUAUGUGCUAUGCUAGAGGCACGCACAAGGCUCCUGGUCCAGCCCAGCCCUCAGAUUCUGCGUCCAGAGCAGAUAUUCAGUUUCUUCACCUGGAAAAUUUCUCUAGGGUCGACCUAAAUUCUAAAAUGUAUAUGAUUCUAGUUAGCGGCUCACAUUAUUUCAAAUAAGGUGUUUAAUAGCUAAACUGUAUGCAGCUAUAGUUACUUUUUUUGUUUUGUUUUUUGUUUGUUUGUUUUUUGGGACAGGCUCUCACCCUGUUGCCCAGGCUGGAGUGCAGGGGCAUGAUCUCAUCUCACUGCAGCCUCCACCUCCCGGGUUCAAGAGAUUCUCAUACCUCAGCCUCAGGCACGCACAACCACCCCCAGCUAAUUUUUGUAUUUUUAGUAGAGAUGGGUUUUCACCAUGUUGCCCAGGCUGGUCUCAAACUCCUGAGCCCAAACGAACUGCCUGCCUCUGCCUCCCAAAGUGCAGGAUUACAGGUGUG
rnacentral:lncRNA from 1 species